rnacentral:lncRNA from 1 species
CCUGCUAUGUUCUCACCUCCUGAGAAGAAAAAUGGAACAAAAAGAAAAAGGGUGAGCUCAACUAGCCCAGUAAAGAAUAUUAUGACUAAGAUAAUAUACAACAAAUUAUCGUUAGUCUUCAACAGGGAAAAAUCUAAUAGAAUACAAUAGACAACAAGUUUUAGAUCAACAAAUGCAGCGGAAACAGCAAUCCAUUAGAAGAGUCACGUAGAGAAAGAAUUCUA